AGAAAUGUGCCUGAAGAUAUAAGGAGCUCCUUGAUAGGGAGAACUAUAGGGACUAAAACCCCCUCAUUUCU
rnacentral:tRNA from 1 species